CACAAAGGGAGCAGCUGGAAACACAGCAGGUGGAAGCUCAACAACAAGUCAAAGCUCAGAGUCACAAACUACAACCACAUGAGGAACAAAUUCAACACUGAAUCAAGUUCAUGGGAUUUUGUAGUUUAUUUAUAAUUCACUAUGAAUCUCCAGUUUCAGCUGCUCACUGAGAAAACGAAAGUCAUACACUAAGUUUUGUUUUCAAAGAAAUGAGUGAGGGGGAGGGUUGGGCUCCACCCACAUCCUGCAGCAUCUGUCAGUCACACAGAAAGUUUCCAACAUUUUUUCUCUGAUCUUAAGCCAAAAAACUUUUUAAUGACAUAUAACUCAUUGUGCGUUACACAGUUGGAUUAUCAUAGAUUUGCUGCAGGUUUUACUCUGUUAAAUACACAGAAAAAAAGUGCACAAGUUAUAAAGUUGCGACAAAUGAGCUCAAUACAAGUGAAACAGCUGAAGCUUUGAGGCCCUCUGCAGGUCAAAAAUAAACAUUAUCAGGCUAUACUUAUAAACAGGACAGACAUUUAUUUAUGGAUUUCUAACAUUUAUGACAUCUAUUCUGCUCUUUAAGCGUAUUAAUUAAACCAAGAGUGUUGAGUGACAAGAGAAACAUCAAUCAAUCUUGACACACAAAAAAAACGCACACCCAGUAAACACGUCUGAACUUGCCUGGAAUGCAUUCAGCUGGCUGAUGGGAAGUCACAUGUUCAGUGGUUUGUAAAAUAACAUGUUGGGCCUGAUUACCCUCAAAUAAAUACUUCAGUUAACUUCAACUACUUAGAUCUAAGUCUCUACUUGUGGUGCUUCCCUCCAGUCUCUGCAUUUAACACAUAUGUGCUGUCAAGACCCAACACUGUAAAAUCUAAUUAGUUCCCAGAACUCAAAAAAAAUUAUGGAAACUCGUUGCCUCAAAAAAAUUGAGUAAAGCUUAGCUAAAAAUGACUAA